rnacentral:rRNA from 1 species
AACGAACGCUGGCGGCAGGCUUAACACAUGCAAGUCGAACGCCCCGCAAGGGGAGUGGCAGACGGGUGAGUAACGCGUGGGAACAUACCCUUUCCUGCGGAAUAGCUCCGGGAAACUGGAAUUAAUACCGCAUACGCCCUGCGGGGGAAAGAUUUAUCGGGGAAGGAUUGGCCCGCGUUGGAUUAGCUAGUUGGUGGGGUAAAGGCCUACCAAGGCGACGAUCCAUAGCUGGUCUGAGAGGAUGAUCAGCCACAUUGGGACUGAGACACGGCCCAAACUCCUACGGGAGGCAGCAGUGGGGAAUAUUGGACAAUGGGCGCAAGCCUGAUCCAGCCAUGCCGCGUGAGUGAUGAAGGCCUUAGGGUUGUAAAGCUCUUUCACCGAUGAAGAUAAUGACGGUAGUCGGAGAAGAAGCCCCGGCUAACUUCGUG